AACUCAAACAUGCUUCUUAAAUUACCCUGUGUGCCGUUUGCUUUGAGUUAUUCAUGCCCUGUUUGUUCAAUAUCCGUAUCUGACAUGACAAAUUUGUGGUAGAAACUCGACCAAGUGGUUGCCUCAACCCCAAUGCCUCAGAUUAUAG